ACUCCUACGGGAGGCAGCAGUAGGGAAUCUUCCACAAUGGGCGCAAGCCUGAUGGAGCAACACCGCGUGAGUGAAGAAGGGUUUCGGCUCGUAAAGCUCUGUUGUUAAAGAAGAACACGUAUGAGAGUAACUGUUCAUACGUUGACGGUAUUUAACCAGAAAGUCACGGCUAACUACGUGCCAGCAGCCGCGGUAAUACGUAGGUGGCAAGCGUUAUCCGGAUUUAUUGGGCGUAAAGAGAGUGCAGGCGGUUUUCUAAGUUCUGAUGUGAAAGCCUUCGGCUUAACCGGAGAAGUGCAUCGGAAACUGGAUAACUUGAGUGCAGAAGAGGGUAGUGGAACUCCAUGUGUAGCGGUGGAAUGCGUAGAUAUAUGGAAGAACACCAGUGGCGAAGGCGGCUACCUGGUCUGCAACUGACGCUGAGACUCGAAAGCAUGGGGUAGCGAACAGGAUUAGAUACCCUGGUAGGAUAGCG
rnacentral:rRNA from 1 species